rnacentral:rRNA from 1 species
ACGGGUGAGUAACACGUAAGUAAUCUGCCUUUAAGACUGGGAUAACCUUGCCAACGCGGGGCUAAUACCGGAUGUGGUCAGUCGGACGCAUGUCUGAUUGAUUAAAGGAGUGAUCCGCUUAAAGAUGAACUUGCGGCCCAUUAGCUUGUUGGCGGGGUAACGGCCCACCAAGGCUGCGAUGGGUAGCCGGCCUGAGAGGGUGUACGGCCACAUUGGGACUGAGAUACGGCCCAGACUCCUACGGGAGGCAGCAGUAGGGAAUUUUGCGCAAUGGACGAAAGUCUGACGCAGCAACGCCGCGUGAGGGAUGAAGGCCUUCGGGUUGUAAACCUCUGUUGGGUAGGAAAAAAAGGUAGCAAUACUUUGAUGGUACUACCUGAGGAAGCACCGGCUAACUACGUGCCAGCAGCCGCGGUAAUACGUAGGGUGCAAGCGUUGUUCGGAAUCACUGGGCGUAAAGAGAGCGUAGGCGGGAUUGUAAGUUAGAAGUUUAAUACAUGGGCUUAACCCGUGGCUGGCUUUUAAUACUGCAGUUCUUGAGUAUGGGAGAGGGCGAUGGAAUUCCAGGU